AUGAGCAGCAGCAGCUCCUGCCGGCGUCUGUUCAGCUUUGGCGACUCGCUGAUCGACACCGGCAACUUCAUACACUACUGCAAGGCGCCGGGCUCCGUGUCGCGGUCGCCCUACGGCGAGACCUUCUUCGGCCGCCCCACCGGCCGCUGGUCCGACGGCCACCUCAUCGUCGACUUCAUCGUGGACAGGCUGGGGUUCCCGUACUGGCCGGCAUACCUGCAGGCGAAGUCGCCGGCGACGAAGGGCGACUUCCGCUACGGCGCCAACUUCGCAGUGGCCAGCGGCACGGCACUCAACCAGCUCCUCUUUAGGCUGUGUUCGGUUGGGAGGGAUUUGGAGGGGGUUUGGCAGGGAUUGAAAUGGAUUUAAUCCCUUACAAGUCAAAAUCUCUUCAAAUCCCCUCCAAUCCUCUUGUGAAGGGGUGUAACCGAACAAGGCCUUAGGAAGAAGCACCUCAACGUGGACCAGAUCACCCCCUACUCCCUGGGCAUCCAGAUCGGGUGGUUCAAGAAAGUGCUGGCCGCGAUCGCCUCCACCGACGUCCAGCGGCGGGAGAUCAUGGCGAGCUCGCUGUUCCUGGUCGGCGAGAUCGGCGCCAACGACUACAACCACCCCUUCUUCCAGAACAGGACGCUCGGGUUCGUCCGGCCGCUGGUGCCCCGGGUGAUCCGGUCCAUCGCGCUCUCCGUGGAGGCCCUCAUCAAGCUGGGCGCCAAGAACAUCUACGUGCCGGGCAUCUUCCCGCUGGGCUGCGUCCCGCGGUACUUCUACUUCUACCGCGGCGGCGAGCCCGGCGACUACGACUCGGCCGGAUGCCUCCGGUGGCUCAACGGCCUCACCGCGGACCACAACCGCAUGCUCAAGGGCAAGCUCCGUGAGCUCGGCCGCGCCCACCCCGGCGUGUCCAUCACCUACGUGGACUACUACAACGAGGUGCUCAGCCUCAUCACCAGGCCGGCGGUGAACGGGUUCGCCGCGGGGACGGUGCUGCACGCGUGCUGCGGCGGCGGCGGGCCGUACAACGCCAACCUCACCCUCCACUGCUCGGACCCGGGGGUGGUGCCGUGCCCGGACCCGGCCAAGUACGUGUCGUGGGACGGCCUGCACAUGACGGAGGCGGUUUACAAGAUCAUGGCGCGCGGGAUGCUCGACGGCCCCUUCGCCACGCCGUCAAUCAUGUCCAAAUGCAACCACACUCCCGCCAUGGCCACCGCAUGCUGCAUCGCCGAUCCGCCGUCAUCGGCUGCGUUGCAAUGGAGCGCGUCGGGGGCUGCAAGGGAGCUCCGCCAUGGCUGCAAUAGAACUUCGCAGGAAUGUCGUGCGCCAGUGAUUGCAAUGGAGCACGCCUGGCUGCAAUGGAGCGCGGCCGGGGCUACAAAGGAGCUCCAUCGGGACACCGACGGUGCUGCGUCGGAGCUUUUUUUUGUGCCACGGUGCUGCAAUGGAGCUUCCCCGGGGGUCGCCGGUGUUACGUUGAAGUUUGUUUUCCAUCAGCUCCGGUGCUGCUGCGUUGGAGCUCCGUCGGUGGCUCCGAUGCUGCGAGGCCGCUGGCGCAAAGCCACGGAGAGGAUCCAAAAUCUGAACUACAUCUACAACUGCAAUGCCGUCGAGGCUCUGUGGAUGCUUCGAAUGAAAAGUGCACCAUUUGCCAGGCUUGUCGAGACCUUCAGGAGCAGGGGGCUGCUACAAGAUAGCAUCAACACCAGUGUCGAAGAGCAAGUGGCCAUGUUCCUCCAUGUUGUUGGUCAUAACCAGAGGUUCAGGGUCAUUUACAACAUGUUUAGAAGAUCAAUGGAGACCAUCUCUAGGUACUUCAAGCAAGUGCUUUUUGCUAUUGGGGAGCUUAGAGGAGAGAUGAUCAGGAGACUAUCUGGUCAGACUCCACCCAAGAUUCAUGGAACCCCAAGAUGGUAUCCAUACUUCAAGGUUUGCAUUGGGGCAAUAGAUGGUACUCAUGUCACUGUCAGAGUUCCUAGGUCACAGUCUGCAGCAUACAUGGGGAGGAAGCACUACACAAGUCAGAAUGUGCUUGUUGCUGUUGACUUUGAUCUGAAGUUCACAUAUGCGCUAGCUAGUUGGGAGGGGUCAGCGCAUGAUGCUAACAUUCUCACGGACAACAUGAGUCGACCUGAUGGGAUCAACAUCCCCAACGACAAGUUCUACCUUGGAGAUGCUGGCUAUGCAUGUCGGCUGGGUAUUCUUCCACCCUACAGAAAAAUCAGGUACCAUCUCAACGAGUUCUCUGGUAGGAACUAUCCUAGGACUGCACAGGAGUUGUUUAAUCUCAGACACUCCAGCCUUAGAGUAACUGUCGAGAGGGCAUUUGGAGCUCUAAAGAAUAGGUUUAAGAUCCUGGAUCAAAAGCCAUUCCACCCAUACUCCACGCAGGUUAAGCUAGUUCUUACUUGUUGCAUUCUGCAUAACUGGAUCCUCCAAUGGGGCUUUGAUGAACACGUGCUUGAGGAGGAAGAGUUCGUGGUGGCCGCGUUCCUUACGCUGUCUGUGGCCACGACAGCGCCGUCGUCGCAUGCGCCGGCCAACCGGAGCAGCUCCUACAAGCGUAUGUUCAGCUUCGACGACUCUCUAAUCGACAUCGGCAAUUUCAUCGUCCACUACGCCAAUGCGUCGGGCCCCGUCCUGGCACGAGGCGUGCUUAAUUACUGCCAGGAGUUCUUCAUUAAAAAGAACCUCAGCGUUGACCAGCCCCCACCGAUCCCCCCCUACUCCCUCGAUGUCCAAAUCGGCUUGUUCAAGAAAGUGCUCGCGGCGCUCGCCUCCACGGACCAAGAGUGGAAGGAGGUGAUGGCGAGCUCGCUGUUCCUGGUGGGAGAGAUCGGCGCCAACGACUACAACCACCCCUUCUUCCAAAACAAAACAGUCGAGUGGGUCAGGCCCAUCGUGCCCCAGGUCAUCAGGUCCAUCGCUCUCUCCAUCGAGGCCUUGAUCGAGCUGGGCGCCAAGACCAUGUACGUGCCAUGCAUCUUCCCGCUGGGGUGCACCCCACGGUUCCUCUUACUCUUCCCCGGCGACGACCGUGACCCUGCCACGGGCUGCCUCCGGCGGCUCAACGACCUUGUCCUCGUCCACAACCGCAUGCUGAAAGCCAAGCUCGAGGAGCUCCGCCGCGACCACGCUGGCGUGUCCAUCACCUACGUCAACACCUACGACGACGUGCUCACCCUCAUCACCAAACCUGCGUUGAACGGGUUCGCCGUGGAGACAGUGCUGAAGGCGUGCUACCCCGUCUUGGACGUUGGGCCGGCGGCGGUGCCGUGCCCGGACCCGUCGAUGUACGUGUCGUUCGACGGCCUGCACAUGACAGAGGCGGCGUACAAGAUCAUGGCCCGCGGGGUGCUCGAUGGCCCGUCCGCCGCGCCACCCAUCUUGUCCACGUGCAACCACACCUGCUAG
rnacentral:rRNA from 1 species